rnacentral:rRNA from 1 species
AUUGAACGCUGGCGGCAGGCCUAAUACAUGCAAGUCGAACGGUAACAUAAGAAAAGCUUGCUUUUCUUGAUGACGAGUGGCGGACGGGUGAGUAAGAUUUGGGAAGCUACCUGAUAGAGGGGGACAACAGUUGGAAACGACUGCUAAUACCGCAUACAGCCUCAGGGUGAAAGAAGCGAUUCGCUAUCAGAUGUGUCCAAACGGGAUUAGCUAGUAGGUGAGGUAAAGGCUCACCUAGGCGACGAUCUCUAGCUGGUCUGAGAGGUUGAUCGGCCACACUGGGACUGAGACACGGCCCAGACUCCUACGGGAGGCAGCAGUAGGGAAUAUUGCACAAUGGAGGAAACUCUGAUGCAGCCAUGCCGCGUGUGUGAAGAAGGCCUUCGGGUUGUAAAGCACUUUCGGAGGGGAGGAAAGAUGACGUUACCCUCAGAAGAAGCACCGGCUAACUCCGUG